GAUAGUCCAGAUGGUAUUGCAGGUCUGUGACUGAACUAUAAUCCAUGUCUUUGUGUUUAUGUCACAUAUACUUACUUUUUCAUGGCUAUAUUAAUACCUUUUUGAUUGAUAAUGACUAUUCUUCCAUCUUUGUUUUACCUCUUUUCUUAUGAUAGUAUCAAUUAGAAUCAAUUUUGAGAUAAAUUGAACGCUUUUGGACCUAACCGUGACUUCAAACUGUCUGGUGCAUGUAAUCAAUGUGCAUUUUUCAUUCAGAUUCAUGUAAUUCAGUUAUAGUUAAUAGUUAAUAGUCAUUUGUUAUUUGACUCGAGUAAGAAGUAAGAACUGAUAAGUUCCACUUCCUUGGGCAGUAUUCUCUUCAUGAUAGUUUAUACAGUCUGUUGGUUAAACCAUCCAUGUUUUGAUCACCUUUUUGGGGAUUAAGGUGACUCAAUUAUGAAAAGGAUUAGAUUAGCUUUUUGAAUGAAAUUGAUAGAACAUGGAUUGCAAAUACUAUUGUAUGAGAAUGUUGAGAUGCUAUUGCAACUUUACGAAAUGUGGAUGGAUAGACUACACCUGCAUUGGAAAUAGUCCAUCACACGAGCAAUCUUGGGCACCUCCUUUAGAAAAUGGGUAAUUAUAAGACACAUGUUAAGUUCUCAUGAUCUUUGUUGUCUUGGGAGGUUGCUAAGUAUUUUUUAAUGUAUAAGCAUAAGCAAAAUAUUCUCCAGGUCUUGGUUUGCUGUGGAAAUUGCCACCAGCAUGGGAAACAUGGUAAUGGAGCACAACCAGUGGUCCAGUGGCACUGUAAAAAUUUCUAGUCUGUGUUUCGUACUUGUGCAUUUAAAAUUUAGUGAACUAUACAUGAUAAGUACAUUUUUGAUAUUUGCACAUUUAAACUUUUAUAUAUUCAUAUUAACGGUCACAUGAGAAUUAGUUUAGCUUCAAUGUUAGUUAUCUUUUUAGGGGAUGACCUUCAUUGGAAAUUCAAGUCAGGCUGUUCUGAUUUUACAUGUUCAGUUCUAUUCAUUCAGUACUUUGUCUUUACAGGUUAUGAAAAUACUGAC
rnacentral:misc_RNA from 1 species